GCAAACUUGGUCAUUUAGAGGAAGUAAAAGUCGUAACAAGGUUUCCGUAGGUGAACCUGCGGAAGGAUCAUUAAUGAAUGAACUUGCCCGAGCUGCUGCUGGUCCUUUGGGACAUGUGCACGCUCGGGUCUUGUUUCUAACCACCUGUGCACUUUUUAGUAGACUUUGGAGUGUUUUGAAACAAAUCUUUAUUUGUUUUUACUUGGGGAAUUGCUACCAGCUUUCCCUGUUUCCUCCGGUCUAUGACUUCACAUACACUAUGAAAUGUAAAGAAUGUGUCUUUGGCCUUUCUAAGGUCUAUAUGAGAAACAUAUACAACUUUCAACAACGGAUCUCUUGGCUCUCGCAUCGAUGAAGAACGCAGC
rnacentral:misc_RNA from 1 species